CAUUAAGAAGCUAUGUACCAGCACUAGCCUUUUAAGCUAGAGAUAGAGGAUCUUUCCUCCUCCUUAAUGG
rnacentral:tRNA from 1 species